rnacentral:rRNA from 1 species
GAUGAACGCUGGCGGCGUGCCUAAUACAUGCAAGUCGAGCGAAUGGAUUAAGAGCUUGCUCUUAUGAAGUUAGCGGCGGACGGGUGAGUAACACGUGGGUAACCUGCCCAUAAGACUGGGAUAACUCCGGGAAACCGGGGCUAAUACCGGAUAACAUUUUGAACCGCAUGGUUCGAACUUGAAAGGCGGCUUCGGCUGUCAGUUAUGGAUGGAGCUGAGUCGCAUUAGCUAGUUGGGGAGGUAACGGCUCACCAAGCCAACGAUGCGUAGCCGACCUGAGAGGGUGAUCGGCCACACUGGGACUGAGACACGGCCCAGACUCCUACGGGAGGCAGCAGUAGGGAAUCUUCCGCAAUGGACGAAAGUCUGACGGAGCAACGCCGCGUGAGUGAUGAAGGCUUUCGGGUCGUAAAACUCUGCUGUUAGGGAAGAACAAGUGCUAGUUGAAUAAGCUGGCACCUUGACGGUACCUAACCAGAAAGCCACGGCUAACUACGUGCCAGCCGCCGCGGUAA